GACCUCAGAUCAGGUAGGAAUACCCGCUGAACUUA
rnacentral:rRNA from 1 species